rnacentral:lncRNA from 1 species
AAAUAAGAAAUAGGGACAAACAGAGCAAAUUAGUCUAAAUUUUUUUAGAAAAAGUCUUUCGUUCCCUGGCUAUCAAAGGACAUUUGUCAUAGAUCUUAAUCAUGGGUUUUUAGGAAUGAAAAAUAGGCAGAGUUGUAAAUUAAGAACAUUACUUGUAUAUAAUUGUGAAAUGUUUCUUUUUCUUCUUAAUUACACAAGUCUGCAUUUGUAUGGGCAAAAUAAAUGAAAUGGGACACAGGAAAUAUGUACUUCGCUGUUUUAACACCAAUGGAGACUGCUAGUUUGCCUAAGAGACUACCGAAAACACAAUUCUAUUAUAGUCACAAAAGAAAAUGAAGUUAGAAAAACUGAAAGUUACCUAUAAAAGUCUGUUGGGCCUGUGAAUUUCCCCCUACCCUCGGGGAACAUGAAUGAGGAUAAUUAGAUGCAUUAGCACCCAUUUUCUUCAGUCACUCAGGCAUUCCGUCUGCGGGUUCUUCAGAGUAUAAUCCCAGAGGCCUUUAUGAACCUUCAACCCUGGAUCCAGCAGCCUCUUUUCAUCCAUUUCUUGAUAUGAAAUAAAAAUAAUUUAAUUCA